rnacentral:lncRNA from 1 species
AUAUCUAACUCAUUUUUCAUUUCCUACAGGCAUAAUGAGUAUCUUGUACAAUCUCACGAACUUGCAGUAGAGAUAAAUUUAGUCUGGUGGUUCAGAGCUUGGAUUUGCUUCAUGCAAUAUUUCCAGUGUUUUUUGGAACAUGAUAAAGGAGACUACUGACUACUGGAUCUGAAGCAGAUGGGAAGAAAACCAAGAAAGAAACAGAUGCAAUGAACAAAUCCAGAAGA